UNUACUAUGAAGGNCNGNGAAGAGGGACUCUNCUCCUUGGNGUGUUAAUCUUCCUGCUCGUGAAUNUUUUGUAUAUUUGGUGAGCCGUANGAUUGNGGGUUACCAAGGGGGCCGUGNNGUAGUUNUGUCNUGAGUUAGUAAUGGAUAUGCUUAUGUGGUCAUUUAAAAUGGGUUCCCCUCUGGUCUAAAAGUCAGAUGGCAUGACNAUAUCUCUGCNUUCAGUCUCNNAUAUGGUUNGCUCAUUCAUUUAAGUGUUUGNGGCAUCUUCUAAUGGAAUAGCUUGCCGGUGAUAAGNCCGGAGGAAGGUGGGGAUGACGUCAAGUCCUCAUGGCCCUUUACGCGCUGGGCUUACACACGUGCUACAAUGGCGGUGACAGUGGGCAGCAACCUCGCGAGAGGUAGCUAAUCUCCAAAAGGCCGUCUCAGUUCGGAAUUGUUCUCGUGCAAACUCGAGGAGCAUGAAGUCAGAAUCGCUAUGUAAUCGCGGAUCAGAAUGCCGUCGGUGAAUACGUUCCCGGGCCAUUGUACACACCGCCCGUGGGGCGGGGGGGCGGGCCAGGGCGCGGGGCGCGGANAGGGCGAAUGCUAUAGCAUUGCCGGCCAGUGGCCAGGUCAGUC
rnacentral:rRNA from 1 species